rnacentral:rRNA from 1 species
CCUACGGGAGGCUGCAGUGAGGAAUAUUGGUCAAUGGACGAGAGUCUGAACCAGCCAAGUAGCGUGAAGGAUGACUGCCCUAUGGGUUGUAAACUUCUUUUAUAAAGGAAUAAAACGAGGCACGUGUGCCUUUUUGCAUGUACUUUAUGAAUAAGGAUCGGCUAACUCCGUGCCAGCAGCCGCGGUAAUACGGAGGAUCCGAGCGUUAUCCGGAUUUAUUGGGUUUAAAGGGAGCGUAGAUGGGUUGUUAAGUCAGUUGUGAAAGUUUGCGGCUCAAACGUAAAAUUGCAAUUGAUACUGGCAGCCUUGAGUACAGGUGAGGUAGGCGGAAUUCGUGGUGUAGCGGUGAAAUGCUUAGAUAUCACGAAGAACCCCGAUUGCGAAGGCAGCUUACUAAACUGUGACUGACAUUGAUGCUCGAAAGUGUGGGUAUCAAACAGGAUUAGAUACCCGGGUAGUC